CUUUACAUCCUUCAGUGUCUCAUAGUGCAGAACAUCGAAAGGCUCAACAAAGAACUGCUGAUCUGAUUCAACAUGGACAGAUACUUUCUGAUAAUUGUAAUUAUGGGAACAGGUUUGGUGUCUGGAGACAAUAUUUGGCCAGAUAAAGAGAAAAAUGUUAUCACAGAAGAAAGAGGAACUGUCAAGCUGAGCUGCUCAUAUAGUACAACCAGUGAUGAAGUUCGGCUUUACUGGUACAGACAAUAUCCACAUGCAGAACCCUUGUUUUUAACAUAUAAAGGAGCACGAUCACUGAGUGCUGCAGACAGCUCUGAUCGUCGGUUUCAGUCGACUACAUCACGAACAUCCACUGAACUCACUAUUACUGAUGUACGUCUGUCAGAUUCAGCUCUCUAUUAUUGUGCUCUAAGAGUUGAAGCCCAGUGAUACAAAACAUGAAACACGUCGUACAAAAACCUGAAGCUCUUUUCACUUUGAACCGAUCUAGUGAAAACCACAAUCAAAACCACAAUCUAUCCAGCUCCAAAUGUAAUAAAAUAUGUGGUAACACCUGUGUGAAGUAGAUUAUAAGCCAUAAAAGAAAGCCAGAAAUAUUAAAACAUUAAAGGCAUAAAGACUUUAAAAGCAUAAAAAAAAAAAAAACAUUAAAAGCAUAAAAAUAUUGUUUCAUUAGUUUCCGUGAAUGCAGCAUCAAAUUAACUUACAUUUAGUCAGCAAAUUCCUCUACUUUAAAUUAAAGGUAGGCCUGAUCCUUUUAACCUUUAGAAUUAAACUUUUGAGAUCGUACAGUAAAUGUUGAAAAUUGUGUAUGUUACAAAUAAAUUAAAAGAUAUUAAAUGUCUUUAAUACAUCUGCCCCCAACAGUAAAAACUGCAACCAGUUCUGCUUUAAGGGGUUUCUGUUUUUAUUUUAAUGUAAUUGCAGAAACUGGCCACACUGUGGCAGUAUUGUAGCCUAUUAUGCAUUCAAUCUCCUCCUAUAUGUGUUUAACCUGUGCAAACAUAUAGUCACAGUGAAAUCUAAACUCAGGCUGGCUCAUGUUCAUCAUCAUCAUAACUCACUAAUAUCACGUUUGCAGUUUUAUAUGCUUGUAUGUAAACUAUGUUAAUGUGGCUGAAGAGUUUACUUCUAUUGGCUGCAGUUCUAGAGUGCAGUACACAAGAUUCUGUUAAUCAGCCAACAAGAGUUCAAACAGCGUCUGAACAUGACGUGGUCACACUUCACUGCACUUACAGUACCAGUGACCAAUACCCUUAUCUUUACUGGUACCAACAGAAAACCAAUG